ACUACUUUGGCGGGCAACAAGAUGGCGGACUGGGCGACUGCGGCGUCCGAAAGACGUUUCUACGAUCCACCCGCCAUAUAUAUUCUCAACGAUUCGUCUUUUUGAAGACCACGGAACGCAGGUUGAGUUUGCAGCGGUGGAGUGUUACCUGAAGUGAAGAUUGAAGACGUGAUAGAAGAUGGACGACUACUGCUAUGCUAAGAUGGCGACGUCCGCUAAAAGAGAACAUGAAAGAGAAUCAGCGCCACCAACUUCCAGCAAAUCACCAACGGAGAUAAAGACGAAAGAUGGAGAUAAAGUUGAGCGAGUUAAAGUUUCCAACAACGUAAUUUUGGAGACUAUCGUAAGCCCUGAAAAGAGCGUUGAUGAGAAAUUAGCCGAAUAUGUUGAAGAAUGUAAAGAAAGAGCCGCCAUGAUUGUUAGCUUGAAGAAGGCAGUGGAGUUCACAUCAGAGGAGAUGAAAGAAUGCAAAAGUCAAAUGAAGAAAGUGGAAGAGCAGAACAAGCGCUUGUGUAAAGAAAAUAAUGAUGUGAAAGAAGAGAUGUUGGGGAAGAGUAAGAGAUGUGAAGAGAAGACUGGACCACAUGUCUACAUCAACGCGCAGAGGAUUGGAGCUGGAGAUCGCUGUUUGUUGUGAGCUGUGUCCAAAUCUCACCACGCUACAAAUCUCGUUCCGAAAUCUCGCGAUAACUCGCGACAAAACACCGGUGGAAAAACAGUUACCUGACUGAGGUGAAGAGAGAUGACUGAAGUGAUUUUCUGUUGGAUUACCGAAGACUGUUAUUUUAGUUUUAUAGAAAAGUUUGUUUGUUUGUCUGUCAUGGCUGAAUUUUUGCCUGAUGUGGACGACGUGGAUGAAAUUGCAUUUGAUUUUGAUGGCCGGCCGUAUCUAUUUGAGCCGGAGUACACAGAUGAAGAGCUUCAAGAAAUUGAAGAACGGACGAGGAGAGACGGAGUUGGGCAACAGGCAGAGGGCACGGAACCAGCUGCUGCAAGGCUGCGAAACACUGGAAACUGGUGGUGUUCCUGUGGGUGCUGUGUACCUUUGCCUACAGAGGAGGAAUGCCUCUGUUGCAGGGAAUGGGACCUUUUGCAGCCAGCUGUGUUUGGGGAUUACCCAGUGGACGGUACACAACGCUGUGUAACGUCAUCAGAGGAUUUCCCCUCCUUGAUCAACAGGGCAGUGCUAGAGACCUUCUUCCAUGUUCCCAAAAUCAACUGGAAGAGGCGGCCAAGACCACAGGGAGAAAACGGCCAGCUGUCUAUUGACCAAUGCAGACUAGUGGCUUACCGUGUGGUGCUGGAGUGGGCGCUCAGAGGAGAGCGUCUAGGUCGUGGCAAUAGGAGAGUGUUGCCUAGAUGUAUAGUUAUGGCUAUAAGAAGCAAGUACCCCUCUCCCACCGGCACUUACACUGGCUUCAACGAGGCAGAGGACAUCUUCAAUAUACUGUAAAUAUUUCUGUACACGUACAUAUCACUGUAAGAUUCAAUCUUUUACAAUAAAGUAAUAACAAUAGCACAGCUGUGUUUCUAUCUCUUUAUUUUAAACCACAAACCAACACCCCCACAACCACACCCCCACACACACCAAUAAUGUUCUAUACAUUAUUUUUUGUCAGCUUUAGUAUGGUUUGAACCGUGAACUGUGCCGUGCAAGUAAGUCUGCCUUUUCAGGCCUCGGAACAGGAGCUAUGUUGUGCAGUAAUCUUCGGCGUGGUUUGCGACAGGGCAAAGGCUCUGUAUAAACAACAGUGUGGUCAUCCCUUCUCUUCAGGACUCUCUCCAUGAGGUUGGUACGGAAGGUUUGCUUGGUCCGUUCAUAGAUGGGCUUUGCAACCCACUGUGCGCUUUGUUUAGAGAAGGAAAACCUGUACCGGCAUUCUCCUAAGGCAAAAAGAAAAAAACAUAAAUUGUAGUGUACCAUGUCAUUGUUGCAUAUUCAUUUUUCAGGUAGUUUUAGGUGAAUGUUUUUUAUACCAGAAAAUACA